rnacentral:lncRNA from 1 species
ACCCGUUGGAUCACAUACACGGAAAGUCGGCUGUUGAUCAGCUUAGUGGCCGACCGAGCAUGACCUGAAACUACCAUGUGGUGAUCAGAUGUUAUGCAUGUGGAAAAGUGAUAACCCUGAACAUUGGCUAAUAGAACGUGCAUAUUUGCGUGCAUGUAGGUCCUAUCUCACGGGUGGGGUUUUACCUACGAGGCAUUUUCGCGGUCUAUCCACGAGUAUGCCCUCUGGGAUUUGAAUCCUACGAGGCUUUUCUUUCCUUUUUUUGUUUU